AAUUUUGUAGUUAGUACUGUUGUUGUAGACAUGUGUAUUAGUAGUUGGCAUAAAGGAGAUAGGCUCUGUCAAUGCUUAGGUUUACCUAUAAGUAUUUGAUUGAUCGGUAGCCUAACAUU
rnacentral:snoRNA from 1 species